rnacentral:rRNA from 1 species
UACGUAGGGGGCAAGCGUUGUCCGGAAUCAUUGGGCGUAAAGAGCGCGUAGGCGGCCCUGUAAGUCCGCUGUGAAAGUCAAGGGCUCAACCCUUGGAUGCCGGUGGAUACUGCAGGGCUAGAGUCCGGAAGAGGCGAGUGGAAUUCCUGGUGUAGCGGUGAAAUGCGCAGAUAUCAGGAGGAACACCGGUGGUGUAGACGGCUCUCUGGACCAUUACUGACGCUGAGACACGAAAGCGUGGGUAGCAAACAGG